GGGUACUGGUUGCCCCUUUUUACUAUGUUGUUUAUCAGUGUACUGCACUGUUCACAAUCUGAUUAACCCAGCUCCACGCACUCAGUUAAGAUCUGUUACCCAAACAAUUAUCAGAAUUAGUAAAUCGGCUGAAACUGUAGCACAGGCUUGGGAAGUUCUCUGGUUCUGUGCAAAAGCCUCUGUACAAUAGAGGACUCAUACAUGUCCUCUACUUGUACAAUGUACAUGCUAAUCUUCUCCAUCACCAACAACAUCGAGAUUAAUAACUGCAAGUAAUAUUAUCUUGUUUUAUGAUCUGUUUUGAAAUAAAUGUUGAAUAGUGUAA
rnacentral:lncRNA from 1 species